GGCUCGGUAGCUUAGUUGGUAAAGCGCUCGUCUAGCAUACAAGAGUCCUGGGUUCAAAUCCCAGCCUAGCAC
rfam:Aedes aegypti strain Liverpool supercont1.154 genomic scaffold, whole genome shotgun sequence.